ensembl:miRNA
GUGAGCCGGGUGGCUGGGCCAAGGGGCUGGGUGCUGGGAGUGUGCUUUCUGACUGGGUGGCACGUGGCCUGGGGCUGUGGUGUUGACUUUGGGAGGGCCCCGGAAACCGUCGUCCAGGGUGCAGAUAAGCCUUGGUGCGCAGGCG